CUUCCAGUAGCACCUUAGAGACCAACUAAGUUUGUUAUUGGUAUGAGCUUUCGUGCACAUGAAAGCUCAUACCGAUAACAAACUUAGUUGGUCUCUAAGGUGCUACUGGAAG
rnacentral:miRNA from 1 species